ensembl:lncRNA
GUGGAUUCCCAGAACACCGGCGUCUCUGGGGGCAGAUGCACCGAGGCCCUGCUCUCUGCCCGGCUUUGUUCAGGUGGUGAGAGGCAGCAGGUGCUUCAUCCUGAUAAUGAGUAAAGCCACAGAGAGAGCGAGGCAGAGGAGCAGCAGGGAUUUCCUCACAUACCUGAACACCACUGUCUCGUGCACCCUGAUGACUCCUGAUGUCGGCACGUUUCCUGUAGCUGUGCCAGCUUUUUAUUCCCCUCUUUGUUUUUAUUACUAAUCUCUCAACGUCAUGUAACUUAGUGAUGUUUGAUUUUACUGGUUUGACUCGAUUAUCUUUAUUAUCUUUUCCUUAUCUCGCGUCACAAAGCCGAACCGCAGCAGUCAGGCUAAGCAGGCACUCACAGGUUCACGGUCAUCUAUCUAGCUAUGAGCAUUGAACGGGACGGCGGCUUAUGACCAAUCACAAAGAAGGACAAGUCUCCUGGCAACAAGGGAAAACAAAAACUGUAUCCUUCAUCCAACAAGACACAGACCCAGAGCAACUCUGUGAGCUUUAAGUCGUUGGACUGUAAGAAAACUGUUAUUAUAUUAAUAAAUGAUGCUUAUUUGAGAUGAAGGCUGGUAAAAACAGCGUCUCUUUUUCGGGAGAACUGAUUGGUCCGUGUGAGCUCGUACCCGCUAAACUCUCAUCUGCAGCGUGAGUUACCAUGGUGAUGUCAGGAGAAGUGACCCACUAUCACAGCACUGAAGUUAAACAUGGACAUAUAUCCAAGAUGACGAGGCCUCGGCGCCCGGAGCUGCUCCAUCAGGGUUUGAAGUCCCUGCACCACCUGCCAUCGCUCGGGCUCCCCUCCCACGACGCACGGACAAAUGAAAGCCCAGUAGCUCUCAUUACUGCAGAAACAUCAGCGCUCGUCCUCGCUCCCAGGUCAUCGAAUAGCUCGUUCUGUCAGAGCCGCCGGUGCCUGAGAUCAGCACGAGGCUUCCUUUAGCCGAGGUGCCGUGACCCACAGACCACAGCUGAGAGCAAACUGCUGUUUGAAAGAGACCAAGACUUAAUAAGAGUGCUGCUCACCUUCAUCAAGAAAGAUCCCUCCACACCGGGCGUGACCUGAGGUCGUCCAUCCAGACCGAUAUCGGGUAUUUAUUUGAUUUGUAUUUGUGCAGCUCUGAUGUCCGAGGGCUCCCUUUAUCCUUGCAGAACUUCCUGGAUCCAGAUCGACUGGAUUAAUCCAGCUAAUAAAGCUCCUUCACACGGCCGCCAGCGAGGCCGACUUCCUUUUAUCCUGUUUGGUCACUUAGCUUUGGUGAGCUUUACUUCCUGUUAG